UCGGACGUGGUGUACGGAACACAUCGAGCCGCCUUGUAUUGGAAGCCAGGAGAAUGUAGCUCGAAGUCCGGGGUUCGAUUCCCCGCGUCUGAA